rnacentral:ribozyme from 1 species
UGCCAAGCAACUCCUGUUCCUGCCUCCGCGUGGCACCGACUGGAAACUACGACCAACCUUAGGGAAGAUCGGGUAACCAACCCCGGUAGGAACUUUGGUCGUAGGCUAACAGGGAGAG